rnacentral:rRNA from 1 species
UACGAAGGGGGCUAGCGUUGUUCGGAAUCACUGGGCGUAAAGCGCACGCAGGCGGAUUGAUAAGUCAGGGGUGAAAUCCCGGGGCUCAACCUCGGAAUUGCCUUUGAUACUGUCUGUCUUGAGUUCGGGAGAGGUUGGCGGAAUUCCUAGUGUAGAGGUGAAAUUCGUAGAUAUUAGGAAGAACACCAGUGGCGAAGGCGGCCAACUGGCCCGAUACCGACGCUCAUGUGCGAAAGCGUGGGGAGCAACAGG